rnacentral:rRNA from 1 species
GCAAGUCGGAACGAUGAAGCACUCUGCUUGCAGAGUGCGGAAGAGUGGCGAACGGGUGAGUAACACGUGGGGAACCUGCCCAUAAGAGGGGGAUAACAUCCGGAAACGGGUGCUAAUACCGCAUAGGUGAUCAUAGCGCAUGCUUAGAUCAUUAAAGAUGGCUUCGGCUAUCGCUUAUGGAUGGCCCCGCGGCGUAUUAGCUAGUUGGUAAGGUAAUGGCUUACCAAGGCAGUGAUACGUAGCCGACCUGAGAGGGUGAUCGGCCACACUGGGACUGAGACACGGCCCAGACUCCUACGGGAGGCAGCAGUAGGGAAUCUUCCACAAUGGGCGAAAGCCUGAUGGAGCAAUGCCGCGUGAGUGAAGAAGGUCUUCGGAUCGUAAAGCUCUGUUGUUAGAGAAGAACAAGAGGUGUAGUAACUGGCACCUCCUUGACGGUAUCUAACCAGAAAGUCACGGCUAACUACGUGCCAGCAGCCGCGGUAAUACGUAGGUGACAAGCGUUGUCCGGAUUUAUUGGGCGUAAAGCGAGCGCAGGCGGUCUUUUAAGUCUGAUGUGAAAGCCCACGGCUCAACCGUGGAUGGUCAUUGGAAACUGGAAGACUUGAAUGCAGAAGAGGAAAGUGGAAUUCCAUGUGUAGCGGUGAAAUGCGUAGAUAUAUGGAGGAACACCAGUGGCGAAGGCGACUUUCUGGUCUGUAAUUGACGCUGAGGCUCGAAAGCGUGGGGAGCGAACAGGAUUAGAUACCCUG